rnacentral:rRNA from 1 species
AGCUUCAGUAGCGUAUAUUAAAGUUGUUGCAGUUAAAAAGCUCGUAGUCGCAUUUCUGGCGAGAGGAUCCGGUCCGACCUUUUGGUGGGUUCUUGGGUCUCUUUCGCCAUCCUUGAGUGGUCCGUUCUGGCAUUAGGUUGUCGGAGCGUCAGCCGCUCAUCGUUUACUGUGAGAAAAUUAGAGUGUUCAAAGCAGGCUUAUGCCGUUGAAUAUAUUAGCAUGGAAUAAUAAGAUAGGACCUCGGUACUAUUUUGUUGUUUUGCGCACCAAGGUAAUGAUGAACAGGGACAGUUGGGAGUAUUUGUAUUUCGUUGUCAGAGGUGAAAUUCUUAGAUUUACGAAAGACAAACUACUGCGAAAGCAUUUACCAAGGAUGUUUUCA